CUCAAUAAAAAUAAAUAUCAAAAAACUGCCUAUAGAGACAAAUUAAGUUCAUAGUGACUGUCUUCCAUUCGCCUGAAUGCUCUUUUCGACAUCUAAAAACACGAUGUUAGUCGUGGCAAAGGCUUUUUUAUUUUAAAACUAUCAACCAAAGCCUAAAAAAAUGUCAAAUAAUUUUUUUAAUUUUCUGUAAAAUUUUCAUCAUAAUUUAUUUUUUUUUUCAAAAUUUUAAGUUGUGAAGUUUUGUAGGAAAGGACAAUCUUUAUCAAUUUUUUUGUAUUCAGAGAAUUGUAACAUUUCAGAUUUGCAAUUGGUAAAGAAAUAGUACCACGAUUCCAAAAAUACCGAUGAUACAAUAACUGAAAUCACCGAAAACAAGUAAAAGCAUGCUAAGUUUGGCCGGGCCGAAUCCAUGGAUCGUAUUUGUCGAGUUCUUUUCCCGCCAUCUCUUCUUAGGCAAAACAGGAUAUAAGAAAAAAACUGCUCUGCUAUUAGAGCGAUAUCAAGAUAUGAUCCGGUUUGGGCCACAAUUAAAUUAUAUGAAUAGAGAGAUCGAUUUAUAUGGGAGCUGUAUCAGGCUAUAGACCGAUUUAGCCCAUAAUAAACACGUAUGUUAAUGGUCAUGCGA